rnacentral:rRNA from 1 species
GACAGAGGGUGCAAACGUUGCUCGGAAUCACUGGGCGUAAAGGGCGUGUAGGCGGGAAGGAUAGUCAGAUGUGAAAUCCCUGGGCUCAACCCAGGAACUGCAUUUGAAACUCCCUUUCUUGAGUGUCGGAGAGGAAAGCGGAAUUCCUGGUAUAGAGGUGAAAUUCGUAGAUAUCAGGAGGAACACCGGUGGCGAAGGCGGCUUUCUGGACGACAACUGACGCUGAGACGCGAAAGCGUGGGGAGCAAACAGG